rnacentral:rRNA from 2 species
GCGGCAGACGGGUGAGUAACACGUGGGAACGUACCUUUUGCUACGGAACAGCUCCGGGAAACUGGAAUUAAUACCGUAUGUGCCCUUCGGGGGAAAGAUUUAUCGGCAAAAGAUCGGCCCGCGUCUGAUUAGCUAGUUGGUGGGGUAAUGGCCUACCAAGGCGACGAUCAGUAGCUGGUCUGAGAGGAUGAUCAGCCACACUGGGACUGAGACACGGCCCAGACUCCUACGGGAGGCAGCAGUGGGGAAUAUUGGACAAUGGGGGCAACCCUGAUCCAGCCAUGCCGCGUGAGUGAUGAAGGCCUUAGGGUUGUAAAGCUCUUUCGCUAGGGAAGAUAAUGACGGUACCUAGAGAAGAAGCCCCGGCUAACUUCGUGCCAGCAGCCGCGGUAAUACGAAGGGGGCUAGCGUUGUUCGGAAUUACUGGGCGUAAAGCGCACGUAGGCGGACUAUUAAGUCAGGGGUGAAAUCCCAGGGCUCAACCCUGGAACUGCCUUUGAUACUGGUAGUCUUGAGUACGAGAGAGGUGAGUGGAAUUCCGAGUGUAGAGGUGAAAUUCGUAGAUAUUCGGAAGAACACCAGUGGCGAAGGCGGCUCACUGGCUCGUAACUGACGCUGAG